UCCCUCUCAGGAUUGCACCUGGAGAGUUUCUAAUACCCUCCAGUCUCAGUUGAGGGAGAGACAGUCAAGUAGAGGCCUAACCAUUCCAUUCCUAGCUUGGGCAGUGGCUAGUAAGUGGAAGACAAUCUGCUAUAAGU